UACAGAGGUCUCAAGCGUUGUUCGGAUUCAUUGGGCGUAAAGGGUGCGUAGGCGGCGCGGUAAGUCGGGUGUGAAAUCUCGGAGCUUAACUCCGAAACUGCAUUCGAUACUGCCGUGCUUGAGGACUGGAGAGGAGACUGGAAUUUACGGUGUAGCAGUGAAAUGCGUAGAUAUCAGGAGGCAUACCUAUGGCGAAAGCAGGUCUCUGGGCCACAACUGACGCUGAGCUGCGAAAGCUAGGGGAGCAAACAGG
rnacentral:rRNA from 1 species